GACUGCGGCCUUUGGCCGUGCCGCCCCGCUGCCUGGCUGCUGAGAGUUGCUCCUGCCGCUGGGGGGGAAACCGAGCUCUGUGGCUCCAGGGGUGUUGUCCACCCGCCUGUAAUCAGGGUCUGGGUGCGCGAGCGUUUGUGCUCUGCUGGCAGCCUGUGUGGGGUGACCGCCCCGCUAGCGGGGUGUGGGUCGAGGUGCCCCGGACUGGGAGAGAAGGAGCCUCCCUCGGCCGUAGGGAUGGGGGCUGCCCUGUAAGUCAGGGAGCAUCUGUGUCCCGGAGUCCCAGGCCCUUUUCAAUGGCGGCAGUGGCCGGGGGUCCCCUGUAAGCAGGGAAGCUGACUCUUUGGCUGCUGCUUUUCGUGUGCCCAGCCCCAUUUGCCCAGUCUGCCCGCCUCUGUGAUCCCCCGCAGCACUGGCUGGAAGUCCACCGCGUGUCAGUGAGGAGCUGCUGCAGAAGGAAGAAGAAGAAGCGGUGUGGGGACCUGGGAGGCAGGAGCAAGCAAGAAGAGGAAGCGGAAGCGUGCAGAUGCGGGGGGGAAGGAGAGAGGCUCCCUGGGCAAAGCACCUGUCCCGUUAGCAGGGGCACAGUCACGUUUGAGUUGAGAGCUGCCGGCGCCUUUGGUGACCAGGCUGGCGUUGUGCUGGGCGACCUCCCCGUAAGCGGGGCUCAGGUCUUUGCUGUAGUUGGCCUUUUGCCUUGCUGCUCCUAGGGCUGCCUGGGGAGCGUGGCCCCCUGUAACGGAGGGCGAGAGCCACCUCUCCGCACCUGAGUGGGAAAUGGAGCUCGCCGGACCCCAAGGCCACCCUGUAAGCAGGGUAGUGCCGUUUCCCUGCCCCUCUUCCUCCCCCGGCCCCUCGGCAUCGUUGCCUGAUGGUGGCUUGUCAAUGCGACGGCCCCGUACUCGGGGUGUGUGUCCCAAGCUUUGGAGCCCUCUGUCCCUGAGCAGCCUGCCCGCCCUGUAAUCAGGUGUGGGGAGGCUGCAGCGUUGCAGCCGGCUGCUUUAGCCAUCCAGCUGGUGGGAGUGACCCCUCCCUGUCCCGUCAGAGGGUGCAGGUUGAGGUGCUGUUUGUGUGUGGG
ensembl:lncRNA